UACGUAGGGUGCGAGCGUUAAUCGGAAUUACUGGGCGUAAAGCGUGCGCAGGCGGUUCGCCAAGUCAGGUGUGAAAUCCCCGGGCUUAACCUGGGAAUUGCGCUUGAAACUAGCGGGCUUGAGUGCGGCAGAGGGGGGUGGAAUUCCACGUGUAGCAGUGAAAUGCGUAGAGAUGUGGAGGAACACCGAUGGCGAAGGCAGCCCCCUGGGUCGACACUGACGCUCAUGCACGAAAGCGUGGGGAG
rnacentral:rRNA from 1 species